AGUNNNGUNNNNNNNGGCGGAAUUCGUGGUGUAGCGGUGAAAUGCUUAGAUAUCACGAAGAACUCCGAUUGCGAAGGCAGCUCACUGGACUGCAACUGACACUGAUGCUCGAAAGUGUGGGUAUCAAACAGGAUUAGAUACCCUGGUAGUCCACACAGUAAACGAUGAAUACUCGCUGUUUGCGAUAUACAGUAAGCGGCCAAGCGAAAGCAUUAAGUAUUCCACCUGGGGAGUACGCCGGCAACGGUGAAACUCAAAGGAAUUGACGGGGGCCCGCACAAGCGGAGGAACAUGUGGUUUAAUUCGAUGAUACGCGAGGAACCUUACCCGGGCUUAAAUUGCAGUGGAAUGAUGUGGAAACAUGUCAGUGAGCAAUCACCGCUGUGAAGGUGCUGCAUGGUUGUCGUCAGCUCGUGCCGUGAGGUGUCGGCUUAAGUGCCAUAACGAGCGCAACCCUUAUCUUCAGUUACUAACAGGUCAUGCUGAGGACUCUGGAGAGACUGCCGUCGUAAGAUGUGAGGAAGGUGGGGAUGACGUCAAAUCAGCACGGCCCUUACGUCCGGGGCUACACACGUGUUACAAUGGGGGGUACAGAAGGCAGCUAGCGGGUGACCGUAUGCUAAUCCCAAAAUCCUCUCUCAGUUCGGAUCGAAGUCUGCAACCCGACUUCGUGAAGCUGGAUUCGCUAGUAAUCGCGCAUCAGCCACGGCGCGGUGAAUACGUUCCCGGGCCUUGUACACACCGCCCGUCAAGCCAUGGGAGCCGGGGGUNNNNGAAGUACGUAACCGCAAGGAUCGACCUAGGGUAAAACUGGUGACUGGGGCUAAGGCGUAACAAGGUAACCA
rnacentral:rRNA from 1 species